rnacentral:tRNA from 1 species
GGGGUUGUGGCUCAGUGGUAGAGCACUUGCCUAGCAUGCAUGAGGCACUGGGCUUGAUCCCCGCCACCACA